UAGAGAAUCUUCCACAAUGGACGCAAGUCUGAUGGAGCAACGCCGCGUGAGUGAAGAAGGUUUUCGGACCGUAAAGCUCUGUUGUUGGUGAAGAAGGAUAGAGGUAGUAACUGGCCUUUAUUUGACGGUAAUCAACCAGAAAGUCACGGCUAACUACGUGCCAGCAGCCGCGGUAAUACGUAGGUGGCAAGCGUUGUCCGGAUUUAUUGGGCGUAAAGCGAGCGCAGGCGGAAGAAUAAGUCUGAUGUGAAAGCCCUCGGCUUAACCGAGGAAUUGCAUCGGAAACUGUUUUCUUGAGUGCAGAAGAGGAGAGUAGAACUCCAUGUGUAGCGGUGGAAUGCGUAGAUAUAUGGAAGAAUACCAGUGGCGAAGGCGGCUCUCUGGUCUGCAACUGACGCUGAGGCUCGAAAGCAUGGGUAGCGAACAGGAUUAGAUACCCUGGUAGUCCAUGCCGUAAACGAUGAGUGCUAAGUGUUGGGAGGCUUCCGCCUCUCAGUGCUGCAGCUAACGCAUUAAGCACUCCGCCUGGGGGAGUACGACCGCAAGGUUGAAAC
rnacentral:rRNA from 1 species